rnacentral:rRNA from 1 species
UACGGGGGGAGCAAGCGUUGUCCGGAUUUACUGGGCGUAAAGAGCGUGUAGGCGGCCAAGCAGGUCCGUUGUGAAAACUGGAGGCUUAACCUCCAGACGUCGACGGAAACCGCGUGGCUAGAGUCCGGAAGAGGAGAGUGGAAUUCCUGGUGUAGCGGUGAAAUGCACAGAUAUCAGGAAGAACACCAAUGGCGAAGGCAGCUCUCUGGGACGGUACUGACGCUGAGACGCGAAAGCGUGGGGAGCGAACAGG